rnacentral:rRNA from 1 species
UACGGGGGGGGCAAGCGUUGUUCGGAAUUACUGGGCGUAAAGGGCUCGUAGGCGGCCAACUAAGUCAGACGUGAAAUCCCUCGGCUUAACCGGGGAACUGCAUCUGAUACUGGAUGGCUUGAGUUCGGGAGAGGGAUGCGGAAUUCCAGGUGUAGCGGUGAAAUGCGCAGAUAUCAGGAGGAACACCAAUAGCGAAGGCAGCUCGCUGGGACGGUACUGACGCUGAGACGCGAAAGCGUGGGGAGCAAACAGG